UUUAAAGAGAGUUUGAUCCUGGCUCAGGACGAACGCUGGCGGCGUGCCUAAUACAUGCAAGUCGAACGAACGGAGGAAGAGCUUGCUCUUCCAAAGUUAGUGGCGGACGGGUGAGUAACACGUGGGCAACCUGCCUGUAAGUUGGGGAUAACUCCGGGAAACCGGGGCUAAUACCGAAUGAUAAAGUGUGGCGCAUGCCACGCUUUUGAAAGAUGGUUUCGGCUAUCGCUUACAGAUGGGCCCGCGGUGCAUUAGCUAGUUGGUAGGGUAAUGGCCUACCAAGGCAACGAUGCAUAGCCGACCUGAGAGGGUGAUCGGCCACACUGGGACUGAGACACGGCCCAGACUCCUACGGGAGGCAGCAGUAGGGAAUCUUCCGCAAUGGACGAAAGUCUGACGGAGCAACGCCGCGUGUAUGAAGAAGGUUUUCGGAUCGUAAAGUACUGUUGUUAGAGAAGAA
rnacentral:rRNA from 1 species